rnacentral:snoRNA from 1 species
GCACAAAACCCAAUUGAGGCAACUUUGUUGGUUGUUCCCAGUUUGACCUUAGUGAACGUGUCUAUGUGCGAUAGUAAUUUGACUUGACGUCGCAUUUGCUAUGACCCUUAACCACAUGGCAUGGCGAACUGAAACUUCGAGUUACAA